UCGUUAGAACAGCUUCCAUUGAGUCUCUGCACCUAUCCCU
rnacentral:tRNA from 1 species